rnacentral:rRNA from 1 species
AGUGAACGCUGGCGGUAGGCCUAACACAUGCAAGUCGAACGGCAGCACAGUAAGAGCUUGCUCUUACGGGUGGCGAGUGGCGGACGGGUGAGGAAUACAUCGGAAUCUACUUUUUCGUGGGGGAUAACGUAGGGAAACUUACGCUAAUACCGCAUACGACCUACGGGUGAAAGCAGGGGAUCUUCGGACCUUGCGCGAUUGAAUGAGCCGAUGUCGGAUUAGCUAGUUGGCGGGGUAAAGGCCCACCAAGGCGGCGAUCCGUAGCUGGUCUGAGAGGAUGAUCGGCCACAUGGGAACUGAGACACGGUCCAGACUCCUACGGGAGGGAGCAGUGGGGAAUAUUGGACAACGGGCGCAAGCCUUAUCCAGCCAUACCGCGUGGGUGAAGAAGGCCUUCGGUUUGGAAAGCCCUUUUGUUGGGAAAGAAAAGCAGCAGGUUAAUACCCCGCUGUUCUGACGGUACCCAAAGAAUAAGCACCGGCUAACUUCGUG